GGAGCGGGAGGCCGUGGCGGCGGGGGGAGGCGGGCCCCAGCGCCGCCCGCCGCCAGGGGGGCCAGCCGCCCCAGACAGGUGAUGGGCGUUUCGGCUGCGCUCCGGAUCGACUCCUUGGGUUUCACUUUGGUCUGAUCUAAGCAAAUAUGCAGAAGUACCGGCUGGUCUAGUCCCAAGAGCCAAGAGGAGCGAGCGAGAGCAGCAGAAAGGAGAGCAGCCACGCUCCCGUAGCGAAGGGAACAUACAAACAGCGGCAGCGCCGUAAUUAAACCACCGCCGCCCCGAGGCAGCCCCGACCCACCCUGGAUGCGGAGGACCCCCGAGCCACCCCGCUGCCUUUCCCCUGAGGGAUGGUACUGAAUUUCUGCGCGGCAGGAGCCGGCCUGCAGCUCCUCUCCAUCAGCGUUGCCUUCCCUCUGUGUCUAAAGUGCACUAGACCGCGAUGAGGACCUGGGCUUGCUUUUUGCUGAUAGGUUUUGGCUACCUGUCCUUUACCUUCUCCGAGGAGGCCGAGAUCCCGCAGGAGCUGAUCGAGCGGCUGGCGCACAGCGAGAUCCACAGCAUCCGCGACUUGCAGCGCCUCCUGGAGAUUGACUCCGUAGGAUAUGAUGAUGUUUCAGAAACAAACUUGAAAUCUUAUAGUAUUCAUUCUGCUAAACAUGUGCAAGAGAAUCGUCCUGUGCCCAUUCGCAGAAAAAGAAGCAUUGAGGAAGCCAUCCCGGCUGUCUGCAAAACACGGACGGUUAUAUACGAGAUACCUCGGAGUCAGAUUGAUCCCACCUCGGCCAACUUCCUGAUAUGGCCGCCCUGCGUGGAGGUGAAACGUUGCACUGGCUGUUGCAACACCAGCAGCGUGAAGUGCCAACCAUCACGGAUACACCACAGAAGUGUCAAGGUGGCAAAAGUGGAAUAUGUUAGAAAAAAGCCAAAAUUAAAAGAAGUUCUGGUGAGAUUAGAAGAGCAUAUGGAAUGCACCUGUACAUCAUCAAAUACUAAUUCAGAUUAUAGAGAAGAAGAAACUGGAAGACCUAGGGAAUCAGGUAAAAAAUGGAAACGAAAAAAGUUAAAACCAACAUAAAACCUACUGGAACUAUUUGAUAUUCAGAUUAACAGGUAUUUAUUGGGAGUAGUAUGAUAGAAGCAAAGAUUUUCUAAAAUUCAACUUUAAAAGUGAGCAUGUAAACUCAAUCAAAACAGCAUUUAGAACUUCUUGUCCCAGAUGUAAGGUGAAAAUAAGCUAGAAAAAAAACUUCUCUCUGGGACAUGGAUGUACAUGGUUUGUUACAUUCCUGAACCUACUAUGUAUGGUGCUUAUUGACUGUAUACUUUAUUUGUUCUCCUGUGUGAAAAAACUGGCUCAAAAGAACACUUAAUGAGAACAAAGAGACAAUGUACAUUUGUUUAAUGUGACAUCAAAGCAAGUAUUGUAGCACUCUGUGAAACAAUAGGAAGCUUCCCUGUCCAAAAAAGAAAAAAAAAAUUGAAAGCAAAGAAAAGCAGAAAAGAAAAACAGACAGUUGAAUGAAUGGAGGAUACCAAAAGUACUCAAAAAACAUGACAAAAAUCUAAGUGAAUAGUGGAUUUCUGUCAGAGCAGUCAACGGUGCUUUACGUCAAGAAAUAUGCCUGCGUUCUUGAUGAAGAUGGAUGGACACUGAUGGACUUCAGGCACAAAAAAGCAGGAAUGUAUGAAAUGAUCAAAUGCCACGCAAACUCUAGAGAACAAUACAUCCUUGCUUGGUGGUAUUUUAAAAAUCUAUACAAAAAAAAAAACCAACAAAACAACAAACCUUCUGGGGAGCCUUAAGUGGAAUUUUUUUUUUAAUUUUAUUUUUUUUUUUACACCAUAAAGUGAUUAUUAAGUUUUCUUUUUACUCUUUGCCUAGCUUUUUAUUAUCUCUUGGACUACAUUUGCCAAUAACACAUAUAAAAGACUGGUAUAACAAUAAGCAGAACACAAAACAUUAUGGUAUUUCUCCUAGUGGGAUGCAAACUAAUGAGAUGUAUUAAAAUAAAAAUGGUAUACCUAUGCAUAAUUUUCUAGACGUUUCUUGGUUUAUGUUCCCCAACCUCCCCUGUAAUUUAAAGCAUUACAUAAAAAGAAAAACAAAAAAAAAAGAGAGAGAGAAAAAAAUGUGCGUAAACAAAUCAUAGGAUAUCAUACAAAAAUCCUUCUUUUUUAUUUUUCCUUUAAGACUUACUCCAGUUGCCUACUAGUGAUAUUGUGUUAGCAGUUGUCAUUCUUAUCAGUAUACAGAUACUUUAAUUUCACAUGUUGGAGCUGUGUGAAAUGUACAAAUUCUUGUAUCUGCAUUGUACAAUGUCAUGGUGGCAUGGGAACUACCUUGCUGCAAAUAUUUGAACAAAACCUAAAAUUCUUUAUUUUUGGUAAAAUGUUAUGCUUUAUGUGUAUUCAACAGAAAUAUGUGUUUUUGUAAAGGUGAAGUUUGUAUUUUUAUCUAAAAAUUAACAGUUUUAUAUACCUGAGAAAGCCUGCUAUGUUUUCUUGAACCAAAAAAAAAAAAAAGAAGAAAAAAAAAAAAGAAAAAAAACCAAAACAUUUUGUGGUCAUAUUUUUGUAGUAGAAUAGCCCAAAUAACAUCAAAAUCUAUUUUAAGUAUAGCAGGGCAGAUUAAAUACUCUGGCACCAGCUCCUGUGUUUUCAAAGUGCCAAAGGAUUAAAUGUUCAGUUCCCUGUGGAUUGCAGUGGGAGCCACAUGGCUAAAUCCUUCUGCACUGCUUUGGAAAUGUAGGGCUGUGCCAGAUAUGACAUGGCUACUCACUUGGCCAAAAUCACUGCCCCACCCCAGCAGUUUGGAUUAUGUACCCUUUGUUUUAUUUGGAUUAACACAUUGGAUAUGUAAAAUGAACUACUGGAUCUUUAUUUUUUAUUUGUGUAACAUCUACAAAGAGAUGAAAGAGUUUUCUUAGUUUGGAACGACAAAAAAGUUUGUCUUGAAGACAGUCUUUCCACUCAAAUAAUAAUAAUAAAAAAAUCUUCAAAUGUGAAUCAACUGCAGAAACUUAAAACAACAAAAGAGAGAUUUUUAACCUUUCCAUUUCUUUAAAUAGAGUUCAAACAUUCCCCUCCUGUUCCUGUAGCUCUGUCCAAUUUCAGCCUCCCAAAGCCAUGUUAGCUAACAGGCAUUAUUGGCUUCAGAUGCUAAUGCAGAGAUAGACUUAGUCACCGUUCUAUUUUGUGAUCAUUUUCCCAGUGUAUUUGUUGAGCACCAAAACUGGAAAUACAUUUAACUAAGAUUGUCUGUGCUUGUUUUCCACUAAGUGUACUGUUCACAAUGUUAUGCACAUGAAUGUAUGUGUCUGCGUUUAAAAAAGUGUAUAAAAUGUAAUUUAUAUAUUUAUGUUUCAGUGGGAUGCCAAUAAUGUUGCUCCGUUCCUUUUUUCUUUUUCUUUUUUUUUUUUUGUCUAAAAAGAUAUCUAAUGAAAAAAAACCAACACCCACAAACAUAUAUACAUUCAAAUCAUGUAGAUGAAAAGCAUUAUGUGACCCACUGUGCAGGUAUGAAAGGAUGUCAAAGUCACUUAAGUGGAAUCAUUUGCAAAAGAACUUCUUGAGAGUCCUAAGGUUGUGCUGGCGUAGAACCUUGCGUUCAGAUCAGUGGGCCAGCUCCCCUGGGGUAGCUCCAUUGGGUACAAUGGAGCUCUGCUGAUUUACAUCACCAGUGGGUCUGGCCUUACAUUAUUAAAGUCUUGAAAAAAAACAAAAAAAAGAGCAAACUGAGAAUCAUGCAUUUUCGUGGUGCCAGCAAACAAAUGUGUUAUGCCAAAUUCAGAAAACCAGGAGAGAAUGAAGACUGAACGGAGUCUUUUCCAGUAGUCGUUUGUUUGAGACUUGUAGUCUCGAGUUAAUUUUGUUACCGGGAAUGAAACGCACAUGAGUCUUUGUUCUCAAGCACAGUGUUUAUACAGCAGGCAGCAGCAAACACAAAAAUCUCAGGGCUAUAUUCUCAGCUAGUAUAAAUUGGCAAAUGUUUUUGAUUUCAGCCGCCCUUAAGCUAAUUUACAUCAGAUGAGGAUCCAGUCCAUGGUUUCUAAAUUACAAGGAGUAGUGUCAUGACAUGAGCAUCACUUACUGCAGUCCAGCUGAGAUAUUACCCACCUGCCUUUCCAGCAUUACAGGCUAUGGUUUUAGUCCUCCUUCUUCUAAGUGACCGAUACAAGCAGAAGGAACAGUAACAUUAAAGGCUGCGACACAGGAGACAUUAAUUCAAAGUUAAGUUGGACAUUUCAAGGGCCAUAUCCUCAGCUGGUGUAAAUCACCAUCACUCCAUUGACUGCAAUGGAGCUGUACCAGCUUACACCACUUGAGGGGCUGGUCCCUCAUUCUUGCUCAUCCCUUUCACUACUUGGUCCUGCAGGGAUCUCAGAUUGUUGUGUACUGUUAAUGUAAUCCUGUGUUCUCUAAUACUUAAGCACAAUAAGUGAAUAUAAGAAUGAGUGUCAGACUUAACUUUGAAUGUCCAAGCUCUGAAAUGGUUUGUUUCACCAUUGUGGCUGUAAAUUAAACAGUUCUCUGUGCAUUUGUGAA